UUAUGGCUCAGGACGAACGCUGGCGGCGUGCCUAAUACAUGCAAGUCGAGCGAAUGAUAAGGAGCUUGCUCCUUUGAUUUAGCGGCGGACGGGUGAGUAACACGUGGGUAACCUACCCUAUAGACUGGGAUAACUUCGGGAAACCGGAGCUAAUACCGGAUAAUACUUUUUGAACACAUGUUCGAAAGUUGAAAGAUGGUUUCGGCUAUCACUAUAGGAUGGACCCGCGGCGCAUUAGCUAGUUGGUGGGGUAAUGGCUCACCAAGGCAACGAUGCGUAGCCGACCUGAGAGGGUGAUCGGCCACACUGGGACUGAGACACGGCCCAGACUCCUACGGGAGGCAGCAGUAGGGAAUCUUCCACAAUGGACGAAAGCCUCGACCCAGCAACGCCGCGUGAAGGAAGAAGGUCUUCGGAUUGUAAACUUCUUUUAUGAGGGACGAAGGACGUGACGGUACCUCAUGAAUAAGCCACGGCUAACUACGUGCCAGCCGCUGC
rnacentral:rRNA from 1 species